AAAGGAAAAAAAAGGAAUUGUAGUAGGGUAUAGGAUACCUCUUACCUUUUUUCGUAUUUACGAUGCGUUCGCAAAAAAAAAAAAUAAAAACCCCCGGAAAUUCGUAAUCGUGGAUAUUCACGGAACGUGCAAAGGGGAUCGUCUUCAAAGGGAGAAAAGUUUCAAUUGCCCAACGACGAUUGGACGAGCGCAAAGAAAUUAAAUAAGCGCGCGCAAACACAGGACGUAGGAAAGUUCGUUAAAUGGAAACCGUCUGCGUCUAAAAGAGACGGACAAAGAAAAGAAAAGAAAAGAGAGAGAGAGAGAGAAUGAGAAGGACCUAGACCAAACAAGAACAGAUUUUUUAUCUCUCUUCCACGAUACAAUCGAAUCUCCUGCCUUCUCGCUACUUCGUCCAUUCUUUGAGAAGAGGAACGGAUGUAUUUACGUCUUCUAACGAUCGUUGCUGAACGAAUCAUCAACUGCGUCCCGUAAACCCGAGAAAAUACCUACGGAACAUUUUCAAAGUGAACCACCAAUUUUCGAAGCAUCUCGACUUCAUCGUCAGCGACAGUUUCGUAAUUUCGACAUGGUCCUUUUUACUGCCUUUGCCGGUGCUCGUCGGCUAGGAUAACGUUCACGGAAAAGCAAGAACGACGAUGGGAAGG